UCUUGAACCCAAACAAAAGUGUGCACAUCCACGGGAGUCUCUCCCUGUCAACCUGCGCAGAAAGCACAGCCACAAGUGUAAUCCAAUACUGAGACAAGGACUGCUGUGGCUCUCCAGCCGCUUGAGAUGGGAGUGGAAGGACGCUGGAUGACCGAACAAAGACUGUCAGGGAAUAAGAGACCUUCAACAUGAGAGGAGCAGAAACCAAUACGGAUCAACAUUCCCUACUGAUACAAUUGAUUCAUUUUC
rnacentral:lncRNA from 1 species